rnacentral:rRNA from 1 species
CAGCAGCCACGGUAAUACGGAGGGUGCAAGCGUUAAUCGGAAUUACUGGGCGUAAAGCGCACGCAGGCGGUUUGUUAAGUCAGAUGUGAAAUCCCCGAGCUUAACUUGGGAACUGCAUUUGAAACUGGCGAGCUAGAGUCUUGUAGAGGGGGGUAGAAUUCCAGGUGUAGCGGUGAAAUGCGUAGAGAUCUGGAGGAAUACCGGCGGCGAAGGCGGCCCCCUGGACAAAGACUGACGCUCAGGUGCGAAAGCGUGGGGAGCAAACAGGAUUAGAUACCCGCGUAGUCCCUGUCUCUUAUAC